GAUAACUUUGUAGACAUCUGUUUUCACUUUGAUAUUAAGAGAUUUUUCUGUUAAUUAUUGUCAUAAAAACCACAUUUAAUCUACUUUGAUUCUGUGCUGUAAGACAUGAAAAUUUCUUAGGAAGAUGAAUACUUUAUAAUUUAUAGGCACUGUACCAUAUGUAACUGACAAUAUUGUCUUUCAGGUCACCUAUUUUGGACUGGCAGGGGGUCUGAUUGUAAAAGAAACUGUCUGGAGAAUAAUGUCAAAACUAAUGACGAACCAACUGGCGAAGCAAAUUAACUGGUGCGGUGUUAAUGGGAAGUAUGGCUUUGAACCACUUGUCAUUAAAGAUGUUGUCCUCAAAUCUGUACGAAGAAAUGCAAGUACCGCCAGUGCAUUGGACGGAGACAUUGAAAAGUUCAUAAAAAGAUGGCUGCAGCUUGCAUUUGACAGAGUUGGGGGAAGAGAGCGGGCCCUAAAGCAAGCAAAUUCUUUCUAAGGGUACACUUACUUGAGGAGGGUCCAGAAAUUUACUAGUUUUUUGUUUUUGUUUUGCAUUUGUUCAUGCCACUUUUUGCUAGUUCAUAUAAAGCUGUAUGUUAAUGUUAGGGUUC